GACGGAGGAUGCAAGUGUUAUCCGGAAUCACUGGGCGUAAAGCGUCUGUAGGUGGUUUAAUAAGUCAACUGUUAAAUCUUGAGGCUCAACCUCAAAAUCGCAGUCGAAACUAUUCGACUAGAGUAUAGUAGGGGUAAAGGGAAUUUCCAGUGGAGCGGUGAAAUGCGUAGAGAUUGGAAAGAACACCGAUGGCGAAGGCACUUUACUGGGCUAUUACUAACACUGAGAGACGAAAGCUAGGGUAGCAAAUGGG
rnacentral:rRNA from 1 species